rnacentral:ncRNA from 1 species
AAAUGGUAGCUAAUACCGCAUAAAGUUGAAAAACCAAAGUGGGGGAUCUUUUUAAGACCUCAUGCUUUCGGAUGAACCCAGACGAGAUUAGCUUGUUGGUAAGGUAAAAGCUUACCAAGGCGACGAUCUCUAGCUGGUCUGAGAGGAUAACCAGCCACACUGGAACUGAGACACGGUCCAGACUCCUACGGGAGGCAGCAGUGGGGAAUAUU